CUUUACUGUAGCCUGGAAUUGGGUUCGGGCUUUGACUGCGCAGGAUAGGUGGGAGACUAUGAAGCUACCCUUGUGGGGGUAGUGGAGUCAACGGUGAGAUACCACUCUGUUAAAGCUAGAAUUCUAACCGAUAGCCGUUAUCCGGCAUCGGAACAGUUUCAGGUGGGCAGUUUGACUGGGGCGGUCGCCUCCUAAACGAUAACGGAGGCGCGCAAAGGUUCUCUCAGGCUGGUUGGAAAUCAGCCGUAGAGUGUAAAAGCAUAAGAGAGCUUGACUGUGAGACUGACAAGUCGAGCAGGGACGAAAGUCGGCUUUAGUGAUCCGACGGCACUGAGUGGAAGGGCCGUCGCUCAACGGAUAAAAGUUA
rnacentral:rRNA from 1 species